UCAGCCAGAGGCAGGGCUCAGCCGGGUUCCACACCAGCCUGGCUCCCUGUCCCCAGGCACCGGCUGAGGCCUCGAAGAAGGAAGCUGUUUCCUGCUGUUCUGCUGCCAGAAGGAGCCAGGACAUCCCCCCACAGCCCCCCGGGAACUGGGUGCUGGGAGUGUCCACUCUGAGCCAGGCAGCUGGAUGCACAGGUCCAAGCAUAGAGACUCUGUCAAAGCCACGCAGUUUCGACAAGACUUAAGGAAUGCAGAGCUGCGGUCCUUACCCCAAAUGCCAGCAUACCCACUGCGUGAAUUCCACAAUGCAUCUGACGAAUGCCACUGAUGAACCUGUCUGCAGGCAGCA